rnacentral:tRNA from 1 species
GAGGUCGGUGCGGUAGAUGGCCGCGCCCGCGCUCUUAUAGAGCGCGAGCGCUUCCGAGGUCGGAUGGCCAUAGUUGUUCGGGCCGACCCCGAUCACG